rnacentral:rRNA from 1 species
AUUGAACGCUGGCGGCAGGCCUAACACAUGCAAGUCGAGCGGAUGAGAGGAGCUUGCUCCUCGAUUCAGCGGCGGACGGGUGAGUAAUGCCUAGGAAUCUGCCUAGUAGUGGGGGACAACGUUUCGAAAGGAACGCUAAUACCGCAUACGUCCUACGGGAGAAAGUGGGGGAUCUUCGGACCUCACGCUAUUAGAUGAGCCUAGGUCGGAUUAGCUAGUUGGUAGGGUAACGGCCUACCAAGGCGACGAUCCGUAACUGGUCUGAGAGGAUGAUCAGUCACAUUGGAACUGAGACACGGUCCAGACUCCUACGGGAGGCAGCAGUGGGGAAUAUUGGACAAUGGGCGAAAGCCUGAUCCAGCCAUGCCGCGUGUGUGAAGAAGGCCCUCGGGUCGUAAAGCACUUUAAGUUGGGAGGAAGGGCUUACAGCGAAUACCUGUGAGUUUUGACGUUACCGACAGAAUAAGCACCGGCUAACUUCGUGCCAGCCGCCGCCGUAA